GGCGGUAUGGCUGUAAGUAUUUGAUUUAUAAAGGCAGAUACGGCCUGCAAAGCCGCGUAGAUGGGUUCGACUCCCAUUCUCGCCUCCA
rnacentral:tRNA from 1 species